AACGAACGCUGGCGGCAUGCCUAACACAUGCAAGUCGAACGAGACCUUCGGGUCUAGUGGCGCACGGGUGCGUAACGCGUGGGAACCUGCCCUUAGGUUCGGAAUAACUCCCCGAAAGGGGUGCUAAUACCGGAUAAUGUCUUCGGACCAAAGAUUUAUCGCCUUUGGAUGGGCCCGCGUUGGAUUAGCUAGUUGGUAGGGUAAAAGCCUACCAAGGCGACGAUCCAUAGCUGGUCUGUGAGGAUGAUCAGCCACACUGGGACUGAGACACGGCUCAGACUCCUACGGGAGGCAGCAGUGGGGAAUAUUGGACAAUGGGCGAAAGCCUGAUCCAGCAAUGCCGCGUGAGUGAUGAAGGCCUUAGGGUUGUAAAGCUCUUUUACCCGGGAUGAUAAUGACAGUACCGGGAGAAUAAGCUCCGGCUAACUCCGUG
rnacentral:rRNA from 1 species